UCAGUACAAAUAAUAUGCUGGUUAGCUAAGACAGCACACUAAAGGACAAAAAGACCCUUUGAAGCUUUAUAGGGAUAAAACACGGUACUACAAACCAUUAGCAACAACAUCGCAAACAGCUACAACAAGCGAGACGCAAUAAACUGCCAUCAAGACACAAGGACUGUUUAAUUGGGGCGAUAA
rnacentral:rRNA from 1 species